rnacentral:misc_RNA from 1 species
UACUUUAUUACUUGUUAGCGAUCCGUGCACUUGCGGUGGUUGUAAAACCAGCAAACACAAAACGGUAACAAUUAGAUUUUAUGCAGGGUUUUUCCAACCAUGUUAAUGGAGCUCACCCAAAAGUGGUACCAACAGCUUCCAAUGGGUUUGAUCGAAAACUUUAACCAGUUAGCGAGUUCUUUUAAGGAAAAGUUUGUUAGUUGCAUCCCUCUGAGGAAACUUUCUUCUAAUAUCAGGAAAGUCAAAUAAAUGGAAGGGGAGUCCCUUUGUGAUUAUAUUUCAAGGUUUAAUGCCGAAGCCAUUCAGAUCAAAAAUCUCAACUACGAAAUGACAUGCGAAGCAGUUAAAAAGGGAUCUAUGGGUUUAUUCAUCUUGGCUACAUAAGUACUAAACCACCAGUUUAGUUCAGCCUUCACAACAUUGGUGAUCUUAAAACGGUCUGUCUUCCCAUGUUUUUUAAGUUUGGCUAUCGAGAUGUCUUCAGUAAGGUUGAGAUUGGCAUUCUUUUCAUCUUAUCAGCCUGAUAGUUCUAAUUUUGAGGAAACCUUUCACAACCAGUCCAUUCCCUGCUUCAGAGAAUAAAGAACCUUCCUUUCCAGUUCUUCAAUGAAAAAGGUAGAUUGGCAAAUAAUUGGCAGUUCGGUUGUGCUUGAAAGAACCAAAACUCUGAGGAAACUUUCUUCUAAUCUU